rnacentral:rRNA from 1 species
CGGGGGAACUGAAACAUCUAAGUACCCCGAGGAAAAGAAAUCAACCGAGAUUCCCCCAGUAGCGGCGAGCGAACGGGGAGGAGCCCAGAGCCUGAAUCAGCAUGUGUGUUAGUGGAAGCGUCUGGAAAGGCGCGCGAUACAGGGUGACAGCCCCGUACACAAAAGCGCAUGUGCUGUGAGCUCGAUGAGUAGGGCGGGACACGUGGUAUCCUGUCUGAAUAUGGGGGGACCAUCCUCCAAGGCUAAAUACUCCUGACUGACCGAUAGUGAACCAGUACCGUGAGGGAAAGGCGAAAAGAACCCCGGCGAGGGGAGUGAAAAAGAACCUGAAACCGUGUACGUACAAGCAGUGGGAGCCCCACCACUAAGCCAGUGGUGAACUCCACAUACGCAUCCUUUGCUGAGGAUACGGUUAACGGAGCGAAAGCGACGUUCAACCGCAAAAGAAGCAGAGGGGGCUUAGUGGUGGGGUGACUGCGUACCUUUUGUAUAAUGGGUCAGCGACUUAUAUUCUGUAGCAAGGUUAACCGAAUAGGGGAGCCGGAGGGAAACCGAGUCUUAAUUGGGCGUUAAGUUGCAGGGUAUAGACCCGAAACCCGGUGAUCUAGCCAUGGGCAGGUUGAAGGUUGGGUAACACUAACUGGAGGACCGAACCGACUAAUGUUGAAAAAUUAGCGGAUGACCUGUGGCUGGGGGUGAAAGGCCAAUCAAACCGGGAGAUAGCUGGUUCUCCCCGAAAGCUAUUUAGGUAGCGCCUCGUGAAUUCAUCUCCGGGGGUAGAGCACUGUUUCGGCUAGGGGGCCAUCCCGGCUUACCAACCCGAUGCAAACUGCGAAUACCGGAGAAUGUUAUCACGGGAGACACACGGCGGGUGCUAACGUCCGUCGUGAAGAGGGAAACAACCCAGACCGCCAGCUAAGGUCCCAAAGUCAUGGUUAAGUGGGAAACGAUGUGGGAAGGCCCAGACAGCCAGGAUGUUGGCUUAGAAGCAGCCAUCAUUUAAAGAAAGCGUAAUAGCUCACUGGUCGAGUCGGCCUGCGCGGAAGAUGUAACGGGGCUAAACCAU